rnacentral:rRNA from 1 species
UACGUAGGGUGCGAGCGUUAAUCGGAAUUACUGGGCGUAAAGUGUGCGCAGGCGGCCGCGCAAGUCGAGUGUGAAAGCCCCGAGCUUAACUUGGAAAUUGCGCUCGAAACUACGUGGCUGGAGUGUGGCAGAGGAAGGUGGAAUUCCACGUGUAGCGGUGAAAUGCGUAGAGAUGUGGAGGAACACCAAUGGCGAAGGCAGCCUUCUGGGCCAACACUGACGCUCAUGCACGAAAGCGUGGGGAGCAAACAGG